GAGGUGCCGCAUGGCACGUUAGCGUUGGGUGUUUUUUUUUUUCCUUUUUCUCUCUCUCAGAAAUCGUGAAUGCGAAAAAGAGGAAUCGGAGGCGAUUUGCGAUUCUUACUCGAAUCGGAGGAAUCUCCGACGCGAAUGACCUUCGGCCGUCGUUCUUCUGUUAGGCCAACUUCUCCACCGUCUCCGGUUGUCCACGGCGUCUUCGGUUCACCAAAGCAGCGACGUUGGGUUGCGAAAUCGGGGAGAUUCUCCGAGGUCUCAGUCACCGGCGAGAGCUGCGAGUCAGCCUUCGCCGUCGAAGCGGAAAACGGAGCAUUCUCCGUAUAGGAGGAAUCCAUUGGGUGAGAUUGAUCCAAACUCUGUAGUGUUUCCUCUCUCUCAAGGUGAUAAAUUGGGUUCUGGUAACAACAAUUGCAACAAAAGGAUGAUGAACAAAGACAAUGAAAUUGCUCAGAAGGUGAAUCCUGUGAUGAAUACGAAACCUGCUACUCAAGCGCCAAUCCGAAGAACCGCAAGUCCGAGUCGUGCCAUCAAAGAGCAACAAGAGGCAGUGGAAGGGUGUAAGAUAGGGUUAUCAUCGGUAACUGAAUUGGUUGAGCCUCAAAUUGUGAGCAUGAGCAGAUCUUUGAGGAAAUCUCGUGAUUUCGAUUUCAGUCCCGAAGCAUUGCUCUCAAACAAUAUCGACAUCAACAAUGUUAACAGUAACAAUGCGACUGCAUGAUCAACAUUUCCAUCUUAUACAGCUUUGCUUUUAGAAGACAUUCAGAAUUUCCAUCAGAAGAGUGUUAAUGUUAGUGCCUUAAGUUCAUCUAUGUCCAAAGCUUGUUCUAUUGUUGAAGCAGUUGCAGAUCUUAACUCCACUACAAAUCAACAUCAAAGAACCGAGGUCAGUUUCACAUCCGCAGCAGCGAAGAAAGUUGAUCUAAUGGAGCCAAGCUUUGAGAAGUAUGUUACUGUUAAGAGAGGAGCUGCUAUUCCGGAGGACUCUCAUGACUGCAUUGUAGCUGACCCUUAGGAAGUCAAGUGCUCACGGUGGUGUGACCAAAUUGUCUCCAUGAAAGUGCUAAGCUCAUUGAGAAGCGUGUGCAGAUCAUAACAUCAAUUUGCUAAAGUUCCAAGUGUCAAGAGUCUUGGUGAAUGGGCUGAUCCAGGUGAUGUGUCUGGCCAUCACACUUGUGGGUUUAAGAAGAGAGCUAGAGAAGUUCAAUGAAGCAGUUUCCGAAGAGAUUUGUGUCAAAGGGAUGUUGUGCUUUGAUCCAACUCAUGCAAUGUUUGAGUCCAUUCAUUUGCUUAUGUUAAACGUAUGAAAUAUUAUUAAGUAAUGUCUUCGACUUUCUAGAAUGUGUUCAAUGUGUUUUUGUUGUAGAAAACACGAAAUUUGUGUCUUGUAUAGGCCAAGUAGAAGACACCAAAUUUCUGUCUUGAUUAUGUUUUUGAAUUACAUACAUUCUUCAUAGUAAUUGGAUUUGGUGAAUUACAUAAACUGUGAUUAUGAAUCUUUGUUUUGCAUUUGAGAAGUUGUUGA